GAUGAACGCUGGCGGCGUGCCUAAUACAUGCAAGUCGAGCGAACAGACGAGGAGCUUGCUCCUCUGACGUUAGCGGCGGACGGGUGAGUAACACGUGGAUAACCUACCUAUAAGACUGGAUAACUUCGGGAAACCGGAGCUAAUACCGGAUAAUAUAUUGAACCGCAUGGUUCAAUAGUGAAAGACGGUUUUGCUGUCACUUAUAGAUGGAUCCGCGCCGCAUUAGCUAGUUGGUAAGGUAACGGCUUACCAAGGCAACGAUGCGUAGCCGACCUGAGAGGGGGAUCGGCCACACUGGAACUGAGACACGGUCCAGACUCCUACGGGAGGCAGCAGUAGGGAAUCUUCCGCAAUGGGCGAAAGCCUGACGGAGCAACGCCGCGUGAGUGAUGAAGGUCUUCGGAUCGUAAAACUCUGUUAUUAGGGAAGAACAAAUGUGUAAGUAACUAUGCACGUCUUGACGGUACCGAAUCAGAAAGCCACGGCUAACUACGU
rnacentral:rRNA from 1 species